CUCAAAGGAAUUGACGGGGGCCCGCACAAGCGGUGGAGCAUGUGGUUAAUUCGAUGAUACGCGAGGAACCUUACCUGGGCUCAAAUGUAUGUUGACGUAUUCUGAAAGGGAUACUUCUUCGGACAAUAUACAAGGUGCUGCAUGGUUGUCGUCAGCUCGUGCCGUGAGGUGUCGGGUUAAGUCCCAUAACGAGCGCAACCCCUAUCAUUAGUUGCCAUCAGGUCAAGCUGGGGACUCUAAUGAAACUGCCUACGCAAGUAGUGAGGAAGGUGGGGAUGACGUCAAAUCAGCACGGCCCUUACGUCCAGGGCUACACACGUGCUACAAUGGCCGGUACAAAGGGCAGCUACCUGGUGACAGGAUGCUAAUCUCAAAAGCCGGUCUCAGUUCGGAUCGGAGUCUGCAACCCGACUCCGUGAAGUUGGAUUCGCUAGUAAUCGCGCAUCAGCCAUGGCGCGGUGAAUACGUUCCCGGGCCUU
rnacentral:rRNA from 1 species